AUUGAACGCUAGCGGGAUGCCUUACACAUGCAAGUCGAACGGAGUGGCGAACGGGUGAGUAAUGUAUCGGAACGUGCCCAGUAGCGGGGGCUAACUCCGCGAAAGCGUAGCUAAUACCGCAUACUCUUGGCGCGGCCGAUAUCGGAUUAGCUAGGUGGUGGGGGAACGGCUCACUAAGUCGACGAUCCGUAGCUGGUUUGAGAUGAGUACCAGCCACACUGGGACUGAGACCCGGCCCAGCCGCCUACGGGUGGCAGCAGUGGGGAAUUUUUGACAAGUGGGUAAACCCGGGUCCAGCCAUCCCGCGUGUGCGAUGAAGGCCUUCGGGUUGUAAAGUACUUUCAGCUGGGAGGCGUUACCCGCAGAAGAAGCACCGGCUAACUCCGUGCCAGCCGCCGCGGUAAUAC
rnacentral:rRNA from 1 species